rnacentral:tRNA from 1 species
GCUGGGAUGAUGGAAUAGGUAGACAUAGGGGACUUAAAAUCCCCAGGCAAUUAAAUGCCGUGCGGGUUCGAUUCCCGCUCCCAGCA